UACGUAGGUGGCAAGCGUUGUCCGGAUUUAUUGGGUUUAAAGGGUGCGUAGGCGGUUCUGUAAGUCAGUGGUGAAAUACUCUAGCUUAACUAGAGGGGUGCCAAUGAUACUGCAGAACUUGAGUACAGAUGAGGUAGGCGGAAUUGACGGUGUAGCGGUGAAAUGCAUAGAUAUCGUCAAGAACACCGAUAGCGAAGGCAGCUUACUGGACCGACACUGACGCUGAGGCGCGAAAGCUAGGGGAGCAAACGGG
rnacentral:rRNA from 1 species